CUCUCCUGAAAAGAGAUUUGAGUACAGUUUUAGAGGUUUCAAAUCGGCCUUGUUAAAUCAAGUUUAGCCUAAAGCUGUCUCCUUUUAUAUUUUAAGUUUGGCCUAAAGGUUUUGUUAUGGGCAGGUCUUUGUUGUUAGAGCUUCCAAGAUGGUGGCAAGCCUUUUGUUCUCAACCUGGGGUUCUUGGACUCACGGAUUCCAAGGAAUGGAAAUGUGGGCCAUGCGGUGGUGUCAGAAGUGGGAUUUGAAGUAGAGCUUCCAGAAACUUCCAGGAGCACUGAGUGACCAGGCAAGGUAUCUGCCAGGCCCACUGUGUGGAUUGUGCUCUUGCAGCAACUGGGGAUCAUGAGACAAGGUCUUGCUCUGUCACCCAAGAUGGAAUACAAAGAAAUGGCAUGAUCGUAGCUCACUGUAGCCUCAAACUCCUAGCCUCAAGCAAUUCUCCUGCCCCCGCCUCCAAGUAGCUAGGACUACAGAAAUGGAAGAACCUAUGAUUCAGAGUUGAGAGCAAAUCAAUUCCAUGACUUCACCGGAGUGUCACAGGUUGGGUUGGAUUUACCAAUGGAAGACUUAGUUGAGACUGUGGAAGUUUAACAAGAAAUAUUUUCAACAACAAUUAGAUAUUGAGCAAUAAUUAGGUACAAUUUAGUUGCUUCCUUUGGAUUAUUUGCCUAAAGGAUGGAGUAAAUAGACCUCGAAUAAAUUUUUUAAAUGCCAAAUGUGGAAACGUAACUCUUCACUUGUCAUUUCACAAGGAUAUUGAAGCUCAUUUUUUUUUAUCAACCCCUCUGUUUUCAAACUGGAGAUACUAUUUUUUUUUCUGAUAGACAAAAGAAAUUGACUUUAGCUUAAAUUUUUGUAAGCCACAAAAUCUAGAGCUUGAUAUUUAUGUUUCUCUCACUAGUUUUUAAAACACAAUAAGAAUGUAAAAA
rnacentral:lncRNA from 10 species